GUAGGUGAACCUGCGGAAGGAUCAUUAACGAGAUCAUGCCCUCACGGGUAGACCUCCCACCCUGUGUACUUCUUCUCUUGUUGCUUUGGCGGGCCGUCUAGGUCUCUAGCCACCGGCUCACGCUGGUGCGCGCCCGCCGGAGACCCCAAACCCUUACUAUUUAUGAUUGUCUGAAACACAAGUUUAAUAAUUAAAACUUUCAACAACGGAUCUCUUGGCUCUG
rnacentral:misc_RNA from 1 species